GACGAACGCUGGCGGCGUGCUUAACACAUGCAAGUCGAACGGAAACGCCCUGCUUUUGUGGGGUGCGCGAGUGGCGAACGGGUGAGUAACACGUGAGUAACCUGCCCCUGACUUUUGGAUAACUUCAGGAAACUGCGGCUAAUACUACAUAGGAGCUCCUGCUGCAUGGUGUGGGUUGGAAAGUUUCGUCGGGCGGGGAUGGAUUCGGGGCUUAUCUGCGUGUUGGUGGGGGAGUGGCUUCCCAAGGCUUUGACAGCUAGCCGGCCUGUGAGGGUGACCGGGCACAUGGGGCCUGCGGUAGGCAGCAGACGGGUACGGGGGGCAGCAGGGGGGAGUCUUGCACAAUGAGACGGAGCGUGAUGAGGCAGCGUCGCGGUCGGGAUGACGGCCUGCGGGUUGUGAACCGCUUUCGCCUGUGACGAAGCGUGAGUGACGGUAAUGGGUAAAGAAGCACCGGCUAACUACGUG
rnacentral:rRNA from 1 species